AGUUUUCUGAAUCCGUGUAGAGAUCUCGAUAGACAACAACCCAUUAGGGCUGAUCAGACUUUCAAGAUAAGUGAAGUU
rnacentral:pre_miRNA from 1 species